CACUAUUCUCCGUCUGUGCUGCCUGAGGAGAGAAAAGGAGAGGAACGCAGUGCUCAGAGAAGUGGGUAAAGAAAAAGGACUGCAAAUGGAAACAGCACAGGAGAAACUCUGAACAAAGAAUGAUCGUGUGGCCCUCUGAGCAUCUGCAAGGAGCUGAAGUUGUCAGCUGAGGACACCAGCACUCUGCCCACUCUACUGUACUGCUUCCUGCUGAAGGCUGCUUCGAGCAGCUUCACGUUGAUUGGAUCCUGAACCUACAGCUUUGCUUGACUGGAUCCUGGUCUUGCAGCUACACUUUAUUUGAAUCGUUGACUAUGAACUUUUCUUUGAUUGGAUACUGGACUUUUGGCUUAUUUUCCACUCAGUUGAGGUCUAGCUUUUCCACUUUACCACGGAUCAAUGUGAUUGGCUGCUCAGUCACUGCUUUGGAGCCUGAGUAUUGACAGAUAAUGUUAGGAUAGUAUAGUGGAUAGUAUAGUGGAUAGUAUAGUGUUAUCCCGAACCACUAAAGGAUCUGUAGAUUCAUCAGGACCACAUCUAUAAACACACAGAGAUGGCAGAGUAAGACCUGAUAAUGAACACUGAACAGCAGUCCAGGAUGAUGUCACUGCUGAUAUCUCAACCACUCUUGCUCCUGAGCUCAACAUGGGCAUCCCAGACGAGCUCCCCUGCCCGGACAUGUGACCCUCCAGUUCCUGCUGGAGGAGAUGGGCCUACGGAGGUCAACAUGAUGACGGUGGUAGUGCUGGUUCUGGCCACUAUGGUGAUUCUGGCUCUCCUGCUUCGGCUGCUCCAGCUCCAGCGCCGGCUGCAAGCUGCCCAGUCCGGGGAUCCUUUGGGAUAUUCCACUUUCUUCCGCUCCGCCCGCUAUACCUUGAAACAGCCGCCCCUGGUUGCAGCAGCCACACCUCCCAAGCCAUGUCACCCUGCGCUGCCUCGCCUGCCUCUCCCCCUUCCACCCAUCCUUUCCCACUGCACGCCUCCCAGCCUGCGGGUCUCUGCGGCACCAGUGGCUCACACACCGCUGGAUCAUGUGGUGGCAGGUUGUGUGCCGUACUCCCGGCUCUCGGACCCACGGCAGACUCGCGUGUUUCUCUUUGAACAUUCCACCCUCUGAUCUCCACCAUUCUCACCAAGACUCGUAUCUGAUGAAAAAUGCCAAAUGGUCUCUUUUCCUGAUUUGGCUGCUGUUUCAGUGGGAGUCAUUUUUUUCAUUUUAAAGCUGUGUCUUAACAACCAAAAACACUUCUAAUCUUCUACAUGCAUGAUUUACUGUAUUUUGGUCACACUGGCAGUGAAUUGAGAAGAUCCAGCCAAGGCUGGAGCCAUAAUGCAAUCAUACAUGUAUAAAGUGCUCCUGCAGAGAGGAAGGGUCUGAAACCCUUAAACAGUUUUAGAGAGCUAAAAUGUUACCCUGUUUAACAUUAAAGUCCCAUCUGUCGGGCCAGACUGAUUACCAGGCGAAGUUUAGGACUUACCCAACUGCGUAUUGUGGCACCUCCGGAAUAAAUCUGCGUUCAAAUUUUUCAUUUCGUGUACAAGAUAUAAGUGGUUUUGUCUGAGAAACCCUAUUUUGCAACAGGCUAUGCUGACAGUUUGCCCUCAGUGAAGCCACAUGGGGAACUACAAAUAUGGCGCCGUUCACACAAAACUAGGAUUAUUGGUCUAGAGCUCUGUUAAGCUCUGUUAAUCAGAACCUGGAAAAUACAACUAGGGGCCUAUAUCACGAAGCAGCAUUUCCUGCUAAGCCAGAAAACUUGUCGGAUAUAAAGUAGUCUGCACUAAAUAUACCUGAUUGAAGGUAAAGUCCAUUUAAACUAGGGCACCUUGAAUUUGACAAGUUAUCCAGCUAAAUAAGAAAUCUAGCUUCAUGAUACAAGCUCCUAUUCUCUGAUUUAGUUCAUGGCAAUCCCAGUUUAAAUGGACCUUAUCUUCGUUCACUUACACUUGAAUACCUUACCUUACCAGACUACCUUAAAUACGACAAGUUAUCAACCAAUCACCUCUUAUGUUUGCAUGUAAUCAGCCAACAGUGUCCCAGACAGGCUCACAACAGACAGGAACAAAUAUGCAUGAUUUUAGGAUUUACAAAUGUUUUGACAGUUAAACUUUAUUCACUUUACCUGCGACUAAAUGUUAUUGGAUGUACAGUUAUUGAACUAAAUUUAGUGGAAGCUAACUGGUCUGGUAACGGUUUCCUCUAACAAGCAAUAAACUUCGCCAGUUAGCAGUUAGUGGAUUAGCAGAACCAUGCCCACCACUGCAGAGAUGUGAUCAGGUAGCUGGAAACCAGUGGUAGUUUUAUGACAAUAAAAAGCCAAAGGAAAAGAAAAAAGCAUAAAAUUCAUAUCACAUGAUAUAAUUUUAAUGCCAACGUAUAAUCACAACUGCUCUUGUCCCAUGUGAAACCAAGAAAGUUCAGCCAUUCAAAAAAUGUCUGACAAAGUAUCUGAAACAGCACCACCUCUAGGUUGAUAAAGGAACUUAAGUGAAGUAAAACAUUUUCUGAAGCACUAGAUAUACUUCAAUGUAUUUCUUAUCACCUUCACUUUGGUAGCUAAUUUAAUAGUUAUUGAACAUGAAGUGUUUUUAAACCGACACAGUGAAGCAUUCUUCACCUAAUCUUUGCAAUGAUGGGGACUGACAAACGUUUAACCGUUCAGAAUAUGAGAUCAGUCAAGUCUGUUACACUGUUACUCUCAUCAUUAAACUCAAUAUCCUUUGUUGGUUUGUGGACAGGGAGCUGGUAUACUCUAAGAGGCAAGAGUUUAAUAUACUUCAAUUUGUAAACACUCUUCUUGUUUAAUCUAGCUAAUCCCAUGUGUAUACUGUAAAUAAAAAGGACAAUUUUUGUUCAAUUUUUAAUGUUAAAAAGGAACAUACAAUAAAUCUUUCGAGAAAUGUGAGAUUUAUAGUUUGCACUCGUCCUGUAUAUUAUGGGAUUAAAUAAAAUGCUGUUUUGUACCCAUA